rnacentral:rRNA from 1 species
CCUACGGGAGGCAGCAGUGGGGAAUAUUGGAGAAUGGGGGGAACCCUGAUCCAGCCAUGCCGCGUGUGUGAAGAAGGCCCUCGGGUUGUAAAGCACUUUCAGUGAGGAAGAACGCCUGGUGGUUAAUACCCAUCAGGAAAGACAUCACUCACAGAAGAAGCACCGGCUAACUCCGUGCCAGCAGCCGCGGUAAUACGGAGGGUGCGAGCGUUAAUCGGAAUUACUGGGCGUAAAGCGCGCGUAGGUGGCUUGAUAAGCCGGUUGUGAAAGCCCCGGGCUCAACCUGGGAACGGCAUCCGGAACUGUCAAGCUAGAGUGCAGGAGAGGAAGGUAGAAUUCCCGGUGUAGCGGUGAAAUGCGUAGAGAUCGGGAGGAAUACCAGUGGCGAAGGCGGCCUUCUGGACUGACACUGACACUGAGGUGCGAAAGCGUGGGUAGCAAACAGGAUUAGAUACCCGAGUAGUC